UAAUCCUUCAGAAAGAAAGAAGGAAAGAGCCUCCAUGGUUAUUUGGAAAACAAUGAUCCUGUUUCAGACAGCCCUAAACAGGAAAUUCAGUAGAAUUAAAAUAAGAUAGCAUAUUACAGACUUAAGUCUAUAGAUGAGUGGAAGAGUGGGUGUGAAAAUGGAUGGCAUUUCUGCAAUGUGAACUCUGAAUUCCAUACAUGGAAGCAAAUUAGAAAUCUUUUGACUGUGAUGAGAAAAUUCUUCUCCAUGGACCAUAUUACGGUGAAGCUUCAGUGCUGAGACAGCCAGCCUCUAUCACAGCCUCUCUCAAGACUGUUGUGAGCACUUGGGCAUCUAUAAUUCAAGUUAAAUACUGAGUGGCCAUAAUCACUGAAUGAGACUCUUACACUCUCUAUGUUGAAAGAGGAAAAUUAUACCAUACAGGUUGGAGCCAACUUCCGUGUGCCAGAACUUGGGGGUCAAGGGGAACCAGUGCCAACAUUAUACUUAUCCUGCUUGCUGUGUUAUGAGUAAGAAAGUCCUUUGUCUCUGACCCAGGGAUCUUGCAUCUUCUGCCAGCAUCUAUGAAAAAGUAACAGCCUACCUUGUUAACUGAGCAGCCAGAAGGACCUGGAAGGUAGAGUUCUCCUCCCUUACAGUGCAAGGUAAAAAAGUUAAAAAGGC
rnacentral:lncRNA from 1 species